CGUAGAGCAAUAAUUGCCAUUUCGUUUUGAACAGCGACUGGUUCUACCAUUUCAAGUUAACGUUUUCCCUCACAGAUAAUUGUGCGGGCCUUGAGUUGCGCAAAGAAUUUGGACUUCAAAAGCAAUUACCAUGGCUCAGUUUUGUCGUAUCCUUGCUGCUACCGUGCUUCUUAUGUUGGUUAUCGAGAUCUACUGUUGGCCAUGUCCUCCGCAGAUGCGCCGUGAUAUCGAUGGCAAACGUCAAGCUUAUCCAAGAUGGUAUCGGUGCCGCUGUGGUGGUGUACUCUAUGAUCCAGGCUCAAAAUUAUGCUGCGACAACAAUCUUUAUCCUAAAAUUCGUGGUCACUUAUGCUGUGGUAAACGAACAUACAAUCGUUUUUCUCAGGUUUGCUGCCAAGGCAAAGUGGAGUGGGGAUGUUGUGGGUAAGCCCAAUUCUUACAUGUCCACAUCUUAUGAGGAAGCAACUGAGAAUACAUCUUUUCCUUUCGCCAGAAUUUUGCCUAUUGUAUAUC